CAAGAGUACGUGAAACCGCCUAGGGGUUAAGCCCGAUGAACCCGAAUAUCCGAAAUGGGAAAUUCAAUAUAGUUUAUUUCAAAUAAAAAAGUUUGAAAUUAAAAUUGUAUGCACUUUUCCCAUAGUAGGACAUUGCGAUCCAUUAGUAUAUUAACAUUUAAUAUGUUAAUUGUUUAUAAAAAGGCCCACGUGUUUAGUUUUUCCUAUCUGUGGUAAUUUUUUUAAUUUCCAUAUGGAUAACAUCACAACGGUGUCCUAAUAAACAGCUGAUGGAAUUUAAAAAUCAUCCAAUCAUAUUUUAUAUGAAACACAGUAUAAAUAUAAAUAUAUUUGUGCGUACGUGUUAGGAUGUAUUUGAUUAGCAAUGCGAUAGAUUUGGGAUACCUUCGGGACCCGUCUUGAAACACGGACCAAGAAGUUUAACAUAGGCGCGAGUCAUUGGGUUAUAUGUAGAAACCUAAAGGCGAAAUUAAAAUAACUAGUUAUUCAUUCUUCGGAAUGGAUAAUAGAAUGGGAUUACGAAAAAUUUUAAAUAAUUUUUCCUCCAUCCCGGGGCGUUCUAAAUGAACAUGAUUUAAGCAAUUAGAUCCUCUGUUCAAGAGCGUACCUUGAGCGUCUAUGUUGAGACCCGAAA
rnacentral:rRNA from 1 species